UACGUAGGGACCAAGCGUUGUCCGGAAUCAUUGGGCGUAAAGAGCGUGUAGGCGGCUAGAUAGGUCCGUUGUGAAAACUCGAGGCUCAACCUCGAGACGUCGAUGGAAACCAUCUGGCUAGAGUCCGGAAGAGGAGAGUGGAAUUCCUGGUGUAGCGGUGAAAUGCGCAGAUAUCAGGAAGAACACCCGUGGCGAAGGCGGCUCUCUGGUACGUGACUGACGCUGAGACGCGAAAGCGUGGGGAGCAAACAGG
rnacentral:rRNA from 1 species